rnacentral:rRNA from 1 species
GAUGAACGCUGGCGGCGUGCCUAAUACAUGCAUGUCGAGCGAACAGACGAGGAGCUUGCUCCUCUGACGUUAGCGGCGGACGGGUGAGUAACACGUGGAUAACCUACCUAUAAGACUGGGAUAACUUCGGGAAACCGGAGCUAAUACCGGAUAAUAUAUUGAACCGCAUGGUUCAAUAGUGAAAGACGGUUUUGCUGUCACUUAUAGAUGGAUCCGCGCCGCAUUAGCUAGUUGGUAAGGUAACGGCUUACCAAGGCAACGAUGCGUAACCGACCUGAGAGGGUGAUCGGCCACACUGGAACUGAGACACGGUCCAGACUCCUACGGGAGGCAGCAGUAGGGAAUCUUCCGCAAUGGGCGAAAGCCUGACGGAGCAACGCCGCGUGAAUGAUGAAGGUCUUCGGAUCGUAAAACUCUGUUAUUAGGGAAGAACAAAUGUGUAAGUAACUAUGCACGUCUUGACGGUACCUAAUCAGAAAGCCACGGCUAACUACGUG